UAUCGGUACUUUAUUGGUCAUAGAAGUUGCUAUUUAGAACCCUUUACCUUGUUGUUUUCAUCCUUCUCCUAGGCUAUAUGCUACAGCUUUGCUGUUAUGAAUACUUAAAAAGUUACACCAUCAGUACAAGAUCCUUGGGCUCUCUCUCUCUCUCUCUCAGAUGUAGUCAGGGUGAAUUGUCGAAACUGGGAAGGUUUCUAUAUGGGGAGGGUUUAAUAUUACAAUAGGAUUACUUUCUCUCUCUGUGGCUCUGUCUUUGAGAUGUAGUCAGGGUGGUGGGUUGUCGAUACUGGGAAGGUUUCUAUGUGGCGAGGGUUUAAUAUUACAAUAGGAUUACUUUCUCUCUCUCCGUGGCUCUGUCUUUGAGAUGUAGUCAGGGUGGUGGAUUGUCGAUACUGGGAAGGUUUCUAUGUGGGGAGGGUUUAAUAUUACAAUAGGAUUACUUUACGCGAUGAUCAUUUCAGAUCUCGUGGAAUGUUUAAAUUGAAGAUUGAUGGCAAAAAUGAAAAUGCGUUGAUUAAGACAACCGGUAGUAUUCAUUCUAUUUUUCUUCGUCUAACAUUUCUUUAUGUUGUCUCUAUGCAAAGUCAGUGGCCCCGAUGAUCAAUCAAUUACUUACAUAGAAAGCCAGUUGCUCAGGCUUUAGACUAUCAUGUUACCUCCAAGAGGCCUUAAAAUUAGCAGCACCGAUUGCACACAAAGAAUGCCCAUUUGUGCUUUUUUCUGAACAUCUGCUGGUUUAUUUGUCUAAUAUGGACAUUUUUUACCAAUUAGAUACUCGAAUAGAAAGUCCUUCUCUUAGGCUUGAGAGUAUAUUAACAUCUUCACAUAGGCCAACAAGCAUAUCGCAAUGAUUAUAUAUAAUAAGUACCUGUCCAGUGCUUAUGGUUUUCUGGUUAUCUACCAGAUUCAUAUCAAUCAAAGUGGACGUAGUUUUUACUUAAUCAUUGUUUUAUGAUGCACAUAAAAGUGUACAUUUGAUUUAGUUUUUCAUAAUGCCUGAUGAAUGUAAAGUUGUAGAAACACUGAAGUUAUCCAAAAGAGAAUUACAGAGGGUGUCAUAGUGCGUAGACUAGGCUUAUAGUGUCUCCCAGCCUUAAUGUCGCAAGUAUGAUGGCUUGAUACCAUUGGGACCAAGAGUUAAGUUGAAUUACCUCUGGCAUCGACUAGGUUUGCCUGUUUCUAUUGUGCGGGUUUUGUUGGGUACAGGUGGUAUGAUUUUUCCUACUUGGCUCUUGUUAUAUGGAGAAUUUGGAAGGACAUGUCUUCAUAUGCAGGCCCUUUUUUUAUUUAUCAGGUGAUUGAAGAAGCUACCUAAUUUGAUUGUGUGAUCCCAUCUUUUGGACUUUAUGGUGCCCUGCUACCUUGGAGUGUUUUUCGAUGGUCUGGUUCCUGGAAUAUCAAUUGAUUCUUUAUUAUAGUAGGACUGUCCGAUUUCCUCUGAUGAUUAUAGAUCUCUACAACUUGACUUAACUUUCCCUCAGUGUUCUAGUUGUACAUUACUACUGUCCGCUAUUCGAAGGAAAGCCUGUUACAAUGAGAAUGAGAAUUUUGCUGACUAGCCCUGGUCCUUCGGAUCUGCGUGCACUCCUGUGGAUUAGUAAUCCUUUAACAAGAAGUGGAAUAAUGCUUUCCUGGCGUGCUCCCCGUUAGAGGGCCUUGUGAGACACAAUUGAGUUUCCAAUGAGCGAUUGGCUUUUGUAUCAGUGUGAUCAUUAAUUCAAAAUCAAGGGGCCUGAUGUUGUGAGAUGAGAUAGUUAUCACCCUUUAUGGAGGUGCAUAUGGUCUUGGUUGUAGGAUAUAUACAAUUGUCUAGCUAUGACUUCUCAAAACAUUGUUCGUAAGAUUUUGGCUGAA